GACAACAUGAUAUGGGAUCGGGUGGUACGCCUACCACAAGUAUUGAUAAUAUGGAGCGGGUGGUACGUCUACCAUAAGUUAUUGCUAAAAUAAGAGCGGGUGGUAUGUCUACUACGAGAUUUGAUGAAAUGGGAGCGAGUGGUACGCCUACCACAAGUUAUUGCUGAAAUGGAGCGGGUGGUACGCCUACCACAAGAUACAAUGAAAUGGGAGCGGGUGGUAUACCUACCACGUAAAUAUGAGAAAUGGGAUCGGGUUGCACGCCUGCAACGAGAUGUGUACUGACAGUGAAAACCUAUUUUAAUUUUCCUUAUGCGUGUUAGAGUUAAAUUGUUAACUUUCCAUUAUAUUUCCUUUGAAGUUAUGUACUGCUAUCAUGCCCCCUCCCAUAAAAAUGUUUAUUUUGUUUAUUUUCCGUUGUAUAUGAAUAUAAAUGUACAGGUUUAUCUGGAGUCUGGCCCUAGCCUCGUCACUAGCUCGCCGGGGUUAGGGAAGACACUUACCAACA
rnacentral:lncRNA from 1 species